rnacentral:rRNA from 1 species
CAUACCACCCUGAACACACCCAAUCUCAUCUGAUCUUGGAAGAUAGCAGGGUAGGGAUGGUCAGUACUUGCACGGGAAACAUAUCC